AGUGAACGCUGGCGGUAGGCCUAACACAUGCAAGUCGAACGGCAGCACAGUAAGAGCUUGCUCUUACGGGUGGCGAGUGGCGGACGGGUGAGGAAUACAUCGGAAUCUACUUUUUCGUGGGGGAUAACGUAGGGAAACUUACGCUAAUACCGCAUACGACCUACGGGUGAAAGCAGGGGAUCUUCGGACCUUGCGCGAUUGAAUGAGCCGAUGUCGGAUUAGCUCGUUGGCGGGGUAAAGGCCCACCAAGGCGACGCUCCGUAGCUGGUCUGAGAGGAUGAUCAGCCACAGUGGAACUGAGACACGGUCCAGACUCCGACGGGAGGCAGCAGUGGGGAAUAUUGGACAAUGGGCGCAAGCCUGAUCCAGCCAUACCGCGUGGGUGAAGAAGGCCUUCGGGUUGUAAAGCCCUUUUGUUGGGAAAGAAAAGCAGCAGGUUAAUACCCCGCUGUUCGGACGGUACCCAAAGAAUAAGCACCGGCUAACUUCGU
rnacentral:rRNA from 1 species